AGCACCGCCUUUCCAAAGUCAAGCGCCUCCCCCGUGGUCCGGCGGAGCGGGAAAAGGAGAGGCUGCCUCCCUGUGGGUGCCUGGCCGGAUCGCGCCGUGGUUGCCUGGGCUGCGCUUGUCGCAGGGCACGGUUCUGGGUGGAGCCUCCAGGAAUCUGUUUCCAUCUGAUCUGAAGUUAACUACGCUGCAUGACAGCCAGAUAUCCAGCAGAAGAUGUUUCUUUAAUCACUGCAUUUCCAUGAUGGAAGAAAGCAUCAUGUACUGAAUUUCUGUAUGCCAUAGUGCUGUUAAAGAUACCAUGAAGAAAGCUAGCAAAACAUUGAGGCCCCAUCCAGACUGCAGACCAUACAACAGAUUUAAGAGGCAGAAGUGAAGAAGGGAGAUGUGUCUACUAGAAGGAGGUAAUCUAAAUUCAUUUGAGUGCAAGUAACUCAACAUUGCAUUAAAUGUCACCACGAAUUCCACAGAUGCCUCCACUAUCAGUUGUUUUCAGAAUAACACAGAUUCAUGUUGCACAGCCAGACAGGAAAUGUUCAAGCCUUUGCUGCAAACUCCACCAACUGCUAGACCUGUCUUUCCACAAGCUUACAAGCUUCCAGAGAUGCAUGUUCUGGGUGGUAUGGAAAUAUAUAAAACAAAAUAAUAAAAUAAAUAAUAGCAUCUGUGGUAAAGGGGGGUGGAGGGAAAUUUUUUUAAAAUCCCCCAUUAGCAAUGGAUUAGUU